GUGACCCCAGGUCAGGCGGGACUACCCGCUGAGUUUAA
rnacentral:rRNA from 31 species